rnacentral:ncRNA from 1 species
GUGCUUGGACGACCAAGCAUCUGAUUUUCUCAUGGGACGACCCA